rnacentral:lncRNA from 1 species
AAUCUUUAUCUGAUUAGUAGUGGAAUAAGAGAUCAAAUCUUCAAAAAUCUAAAAUAAUCCUUCACGGAGGCUUACAAGUUUAGACCCUCUACUUCACAUACAUGCCAGACACCGCAAGAAAGUGGGAUGAACUCCGAUCAAAUCACCUUCACAAUUCGAUCAAAUGAGGGAAGAGAGGUGCUGGUGUGAUGCCUUAUGCCUGCAAAGAGGAUGCCCACAAGAGGGCCCACGGC